GACACAAAUCCAACGCACAAGGCCAGCCCUAUUGAAGCUCAGACAGAAUUACCAAUGCAAGGAAGCUCAACGAGAAGACCCACUCCAUCCGGCACAGAGAAAACCAGAUAAACCCAACCAAGACCAGUGGUCCUUUAUGCAGCUGAAGCAAAAGAUGGUCUCAGAGGCUCUAUAGGGUAGGUGAGGCAGAGCUCUUGGCAGCUUCUCGGGCAUGGAGGGACUGGGAGCUACGAUAGCGCCAGUAACGUACCCAUAGGUGUCAAAACCUGAGACCUUUGAAGUGAGACUUACUCCAGGAACAGAACAAUAGAGAAA
rnacentral:misc_RNA from 1 species